GGCCCAUUAGCUCAGUUGGUUAGAGCGCGAGCGUCGUGCUAAUAACGCGAAGGUCGCGGGUUCGAUCCCCUCAUGGGCCA